UGGGAUCACAUUUUCUAAGCAUAUAUACCAAAUUGCAACUGUACUUCUGAAUGUGUAUACCUGAUAAGGCUGGUUUUUGAGGAUCACCUUCUUAAGGAAACCAGGGCUUCCACACUAAAACAGGGUGAGGAGGUGCGUGUAUAUGACAAACAUAAACAGCUACGACAACAGGUAAGGGACCGGAGAACAUAGAUAUUAAUUAUAAGCAGGGAAGAGACCGGGAGUACAUAGAUAUUAUAAACAGCUACGACAACAGGGAAGGGACCGGAGUACAUAGAUAUUAUAAACAGCUACGACAACAGGGAAGGGACCGGAGUACAUACAUAUUAUAAACAGCUACGACAGCAAGGCAGCAAACUUAUUAAAGUCCUGAUCUGCUGAUCAAUACCGAGCUUUUACCAAUGGUCAUGGAGUCAUUUCUUUAUCCUUAUUUGGCACCCAAACGAGAGUAUCACUAUCUAUAAAGUGACAAACAGCAGGUCCUGGCUUAAUUUUGAGAACUUCAAACGCCAUAUGGUCUGGACUCCAAGCUGACGUGUUCAGGUGGCAAACCGUUACAGCCUUCACUCUUGUGCCAUCAGCACCCACUAAUGGAACCUCAUCAACCUCUGUGUCUGCGAUUACAUGGCAAUAGUGCACUGCAUAAGGAUAUCUCAUCUUGUGACACACUGCUGCUUUAUGAUCUCCAAUCAUUCUCACUUCGGCUGAAACCGUAUACUCUUGCUUCUUGCCUGCUCCAGUCGAGAGUACCCGAACAUUUUGGCCAAGCCUUUCAACACUAUAAUCAAUUAAUGACUCUAGAGAUGUAGCACAAUAUUUGUCUUCUCCUUCCAUGUUUGGCUCCUCGCAUCCUCCUAUUUCUUCUCUGAUGACCUGAGCCUCUUUUGAGUUGACUUCUAGUGUAAAGUACUUCAAAAUCUCUGGUAUUUUGUCACUGGAAAAUGGUAUAGACUCUGCGAUUUGACGAGGCAAGAAACUAACCUUGGUUCCACUAUCCGUAAAAAGAAUUUUCAAUUUUUUACCUGGAUGGAGAUCGUUGUACUGGUAGAAUAUCGUUGAGUCAGGGAGGGCAGACUUUAGGGAUUUUUUAUCGCCUCUUUUAUAGCCUCGUUUGUAAACUCUUCUAUAGAUUCUUUGGAUAACAGUAGCACUUACGUUUUCAUUAGCGAAUUCUCUGGUGAUUGAAGGAUAAUGACCAGGUUGUAGAAGAUAUUCCAGGGCUUUUGGCAAUGGAGUGUUGGGCAACCUUGAGUACCAAUACUUCUCAGUAGGUGGAGAAAUAUCGCUAGGGAGGAAGGUGGCAACUUUCUUUGGUAAAGGGACAUUGUCAGCAGCCACAGCCACUGUCGUGUGGGAUACACCGAUGGUAUUGGCAGCGGUGGAGAAGGUAAUGUAGAGGGAGAGAGUAAGAAAGAAGAGGAGGAGCAGUGCACAAGAAUUGGCUAUAGACAUUUUUUGAAGAUAAUGAAGAAGUGAGCAAGUGACAUUAUUUAUGGAGGUAAAUUUGUUUAUAUCCUGCAAGGCAACACGCGUGUGAAGUGAGAAGUUGACAAGUCAAAGGUAGAGACAAGCUCAAAGACACAAGGUCUGCUUGGUAGCCAAUAGGGUUUGAGAGAGAGAGAGAGAAAUGGGGUUGCUCAAGGAAUGAGGCAUAUCAUUUUGCAAUCGACUCCUUCCAUUUUUGACGCUCGCUGACAGAGCUGUCAGCGCUGCUUGCUCGAGGCAGUGAGGGCAGCUAUGUCCUUGCGCUCUCUCUCACGGGCGGUGCAAGUGUGUGGGGUUGAUAGUGACCACGCCUUCCCUCACUCCUGUCUUUGUCUGCCCGGCAUUCAAGACGCGAUAAUUGAUCAAAUAGUAUACUUUGUAUAUUAGCGAGG
rnacentral:lncRNA from 1 species